ACAGACAGCCAGGAUGUUGGCUUAGAAGCAGCCAUCAUUUAAAGAAAGCGUAAUAGCUCACUGGUCGAGUCGGCCUGCGCGGAAGAUGUAACGGGGCUAAACCAUGCACCGAAGCUGCGGCAGCGACGCUUAUGCGUUGUUGGGUAGGGGAGCGUUCUGUAAGCCGUUGAAGGUGUGCUGUGAGGCAUGCUGGAGGUAUCAGAAGUGCGAAUGCUGACAUAAGUAACGAUAAAGCGGGUGAAAAGCCCGCUCGCCGGAAG
rnacentral:rRNA from 1 species